rnacentral:tRNA from 1 species
GCACUGGUGGCUCAAUGGUUAAGCGUUUGGCUGCUAACCAAAAGGUUGGUGGUUCCAACCCAACCAGCUGCU